GUCAUAGCUCGCUCGCCCUCGUAUACUUGGAUCGUGACAGCUGGCUGGUUGUCGGAGUACGUCGUGAAUGUUUGCGACUGCUUGCAAGGGAUCUUGCAGUUGCGCUCGAUGAUCUUCGUCAUAACGCCUCCCGCCGUCUCGAUGCCCAGAGAUAGAGGUGCGACAUCCACCAACAAGACGUCCUGGAUCUUAGAGUCGUUCUCGCCGCUCAGGAUAGCUGCCUGAACCGCCGCGCCGUAGGCGACCGCUUCAUCAGGGUUGAUGGACAAGUUCAGCUUCUUACCGCAGAAGAAGUUCUGCAGCAAGCUCUGGACUUUCGGUAUGCGAGUGGAACCGCCCACGAGGACCACGUCGUGGAUCUGACUCUUGUCCAUUUUGGCAUCUUUCAACGCUUUCUCGACGGGUUCUAGAGUGCCGCGGAAGAGGUCAGCGUUGAGUUCCUCAAAUCGGGCGCGAGACACGCGGGUGUAGUAGUCGAUUCCUUCAUAGAGGGCGUCUAUUUCGAUCGACGCCUCCGUACUCGAUGACAGUGUACGCUUCGCUCGCUCCGCGGCCGUGCGGAGGCGUCUCAGAGCGCGCGGGUUCGUUCUCAAAUCUUUUUUAUACUUGCGCUGGAACUCGUCGGCUAGAUGAUUCACCAGUCUGUUGUCGAAGUCCUCGCCUCCGAGGUGAGUGUCGCCGGCCGUCGCCUUUACCUCGAAUAACGAACCUUCAUCGAUAGUCAAGAUCGACACGUCGAAGGUACCACCGCCGAGAUCGAAGAUCAGAACGUUUCGCUCGCCUUUCAAGUUCUUGUCCAGACCGUAGGCGAGUGCGGCAGCUGUGGGUUCGUUGAUGAUCCUGAGAACGUUCAAACCUGCUAUGGCGCCGGCGUCCUUCGUCG